CACAAAUCAAUUUUAGGGUUUCUCACUCUUCGUAGCAUUUUAUCCGCCCCAUAGAGCUGCUUUCUCUCCAGGCGAUUCAAAAGGAGAUCUAGGGUUUCUCGUGGCGAAGCAAGAUCUGGCUUUCUCAAUGACACCAGAUCAAUGAAUCUCUCUCUAUACGACACCCAAUUGACUGUGUUCGAAGGUGGUGAAGGGUUCGAAUUUGAUUUUAGGGUUUUUAAGAUGCACAUCGCCAGAUCUAGGGUUACGAAAUCUUUUUUUCACCUCCUUUCUCUUCACAUCAUACCAUCACAGUUAGUGUGACAAUGAAUUAGGGUUUUCACUUUGGGGGAAACUUUGCAACAUUUUCAGAUUCGGCUGAUUUUCUCUCAUCAGGUGAAAUCAAGGAGGCAGUUGAGCUUCCUCUAACUCACAGUUCUCAAUAGAGUUGGGCUGAUCAAGUCCCAAUUGCUAUAGCUCCUCUCAAUUGCGUCCCGUACACGGGCCCGCCUCUUGACGACUCUGAUGACAUGGUGGUAUGUGAUUAGCCCAUGAUGGUUUAUCUGCCUGAACAACCCACUGAAAAAGAGAAGGAUGCCUUGAUGGCAGUCACCAAACAUGGAGUAUUGGUUACUGGGAGUGCUGCAAAUGAGUUAAUGGCACCGAUUAUGGGGUCGUAUAACCCUUCUGAAUCCGAUGAUGGAUUUCUAUUUCGCUUUGCACUUCCAGGUGUCAGCGACAAUGAAGAGUUUAAAUGUGAGAUUCGGACGGAUGGAGAUAUCCUAAUCCAAGGCAUGACAAACACUGGGCAGAAAGAGGUUCAGGCCCACAACAUGACGUUCGAUAUGUACACACAAUAUCUUUGUCCACCUGGCGACUUCGAGGUUCG